rnacentral:lncRNA from 1 species
GCUAGAAGCGUAUAGAAGUGGAGUGAGAAGAGGCCCCACAUCUUUGUUUCGGGGAGAAGCGAGUCCUGACUCCUGACUCCUAUCCCAUCGUCAUUGAUUUUCAGCCAACCAUAAUUCAUUUCACCUUAUCCGCACUCAUUCAUCCCCUUUCACUACAAAAUUCUCAUUUGAUGCCUCCCCUCUCGUUUCCAAACCCUGCAAUUCCAGAAAGAGGUAACACCAGAAUAACUCAUUCCCAUUUCAAUUUCUAGCAUCCUUAAAUUUUCUCUCAAUUCACUUUGUCUAUAUGGCUUACCAAAAUUUCAGCUCCUACAGCGCAGUUGGGUUGUAAAUGGCCACAGCAUCAGCAAUACUUUGUCCGGCCACGGUGACUGCCAGAGUCAGGAGCUCCGGCAGCAAAACCCAGAAGGG